UACGUAGGGGGCGAGCGUUACUCGGAAUUACUAGGCGUAAAGGGCAGGUAGGUGGUCUGAUAAGUCUGUUGUGUAAGCUCCCGGCUUAACUGGGAGAGGUCAACAGAUACUAUUAGGCUUGAGUAUAGGAGAGGGUACUGGAAUUCCCGGUGUAGCGGUGAAAUGCGCAGAGAUCGGGAGGAACACCAAUGGCGAAAGCAGGUACCUGGACUAUUACUGACACUAAGCUGCGAAAGCUAGGGGAGCAAACAGG
rnacentral:rRNA from 1 species